GAUGAACGCUAGCGGCAGGCCUAAUACAUGCAAGUCGGACGGGAUUCCGGAGCUUGUUUCCGAUGAGAGUGGCGCACGGGUGCGUAACACGUAUGUAACCUACCUUUAUCAGGGGGAUAGCCUCUCGAAAGAGAGAUUAAGUCCGCAUAAAAUAACAGCACAGCAUUGUGUAAUGAUCAAAUAUUUAUAGGAUAAAGAUGGGCAUGCGGAACAUUAGCUAGAUGGCGGGGUAACGCCCCAGCAUGGCGACGAUGCUUAGGGGAUCUGAGAGGAUGGCCCCCCGGACGGGAGCCGCGACACGGACCCGACUACUACGGGACGGAGCAGAAAGGAACAGUAGGCAAUGGGCGGGAGCCUGAAACCGCCGUGCCACGUGCGAGAAGACGGCGCUACGGGUUGUAUGCUGCUUUUAUACGGGAAUAAACCCAGAUACGUGGAACUGGCUGAAGGUACUGUAAGAAUAAGACUCGGCUAACUCCGUG
rnacentral:rRNA from 1 species